rnacentral:sRNA from 1 species
AUACCCCUUGAUGCUCAGGUCCGCCGCAUCUCCUGGGUCUUGGGGUCGGUCGGCCGGCGAUGCCAAUUGAUGGUUCCUCGUGCUAUCGUGGUUAUCCCGGCCGACCCCACG